rnacentral:rRNA from 1 species
UACGGAGGGUGCAAGCGUUGUUCGGAAUUAUUGGGCGUAAAGGGCAGGUAGGUGGUCUUAAAAGUCUACUGUGAAAUCCCCGAGCUUAACUUGGGAAGUGCGGUAGAUACUCUAAGACUAGAGUGCUGGAGGGGUUCGUGGAAUUCCCGGUGUAGCGGUGAAAUGCGUAGAUAUGACAUAGAAUACCCAUUGCGAAGGCAGCUAACUACGCGAUAAUUGACGCUGAUGCACGAAAGCGUGGGGAUCAAACAGG